rnacentral:rRNA from 1 species
UACGAAGGGGGCUAGCGUUGUUCGGAAUUACUGGGCGUAAAGCGCGCGUAGGCGGCGCGACAAGUCAGGGGUGAAAUCCCAGAGCUUAACUCUGGAACUGCCUUUGAAACUGUCGUGCUGGAAUCUCAGAGGGGAUAGCGGAAUUCCAAAUGUAGGGGUGAAAUCCGUAGAUAUUUGGAGGAACACCGGUGGCGAAGGCGGCUAUCUGGAUGAGUAUUGACGCUGAGGCGCGAAAGCGUGGGGAUCAAACAGG